GACGAACGCUGGCGGCGUGCCUAACACAUGCAAGUCGAACGGAAAGGCCCUGCUUUUGUGCGGUGCUCGAUUGCCGAACGGGUGAGUAACACGUGAGUAACCUGCCCUUGACUUUGGGAUAACUUCAGGAAACUGGGGCUAAUACCGGAUAGGAGCUCCUGCUGCAUGGUGGGGGUUGGAAAGUUUCGGCGGUUGGGGAUGGACUCGCGGCUUACCAGCUUGUUGGUGGGGUAGUGGCUUACCAAGGCUUUGACGGAUAGCCGGCCUGGGAGGGUGACCAGCCACAAUAGUCCUAAGAUACGGCGCAGUCUCCUACGGGAGGCAACAGUGGGGAGUAUUGCACAAUGGGCGGAAGCCUGAUGCAGAGACGCCGCGUGCGGGAUGACGGCCUUCGGGUUGUGAACCGCUUUCGCCUGUGACGAAGCGUGAGUGACGGUAAUGGGUAAAGAAGCACCGGCUAACUACGUG
rnacentral:rRNA from 1 species